AUGAAAGAGGCUGAAGAUAAUUACCUAUUAGAGACGGUCUGGUGCCUUUUCGAUUGCGAUAACGAUGAGAAUCCAGAGAAAGAUAUACUCAGGUUCAGUGCACCUUUGGAUUUUCACAUGGUGUUGGCAAUUUUGCAUACAUGGAGACAAGAUGAUCAUGAAGGCAAGAUGAUGAAGAUGGAAUUUAGUGUAAAAGAAUAA